UACAGAGGUCCCAAGCGUUGUUCGGAUUCACUGGGCGUAAAGGGUGCGUUGGCGGUCGGGUAAGUCUGACGUGAAAUCUUCAAGCUUAACUUGGAAACUGCGUCGGAUACUAUUCGGCUAGAGGAAUGGAGGGGAGACUGGAAUACUUGGUGUAGCAGUGAAAUGCGUAGAUAUCAAGUGGAACACCAGUGGCGAAGGCGAGUCUCUGGACAUUUCCUGACGCUGAGGCACGAAAGCCAGGGGAGCAAACGGG
rnacentral:rRNA from 1 species